rnacentral:rRNA from 1 species
GAUGAACGCUGGCGGCGUGCUUAACACAUGCAAGUCGAACGGAAAGGCUCCUGCUUGCAGGGGUACUCGAGUGGCGAACGGGUGAGUAACACGUGGGUGAUCUGCCCUGCACUUCGGGAUAAGCCUGGGAAACUGGGUCUAAUACCGGAUAGGACGAUGGUUUGGAUGCCAUUGUGGAAAGUUUUUUCGGUGUGGGAUGAGCUCGCGGCCUAUCAGCUUGUUGGUGGGGUAAUGGCCUACCAAGGCGUCGACGGGUAGCCGGCCUGAGAGGGUGUACGGCGACAUUGGGACUGAGAGACGGCCCAGACUCCUACGGGAGGCAGCAGUGGGGAAUAUUGCACAAUGGGCGCAAGCCUGAUGCAGCGACGCCGCGUGGGGGAUGACGGCCUUCGGGUUGUAAACUCCUUUCGCUAGGGACGAAGCGCAAGUGACGGUACCUGGAGAAGAAGCACCGGCUAACUACGUG